ACCGCCACAAUCAGAAUACUCGUCGACUUCAGCCAUUCUCUCAUUCCACAUUUCGGCAGAUUUCAGGAUCGAUUCCGCAGUCAUCGGCUCUUCAGAGCACUAUGCCUUAAAUCGAUCGCCACGGCGGCGGAUCUCAGCCGGCGAUCAAAGUCGUCGCUCUCUGGUUCUCUUCGCCGAAAUUCUCGCCACAGAGGCCUGAUUCGUGCUGCGACGGAGUCGAUCGAUGAACUGCAAAUUGAAUAUAAAGAUAUCUCGCCCUAGCCGAUGCUGAAUUCCGAUUUAGGUAAGUAUUUCUCCAGAGAAAUAAAUUAAUCAUAAUUUGGUAACGAUUAUGCAAUCAAUAAUAUUUUUAACAUUUUGUUUAUCAAAAUUAUACUCAAAAUGAUAAUUGUUACUGCAAAUGAUUACGUUUUUUUCGGAAGAACAAAAUAUAUUUUUGAUAUUUAAAUUGA